rnacentral:rRNA from 1 species
AUUUAAUUGUAAAAGGUAGUAAUAACUAACGAAACCAUUAAACCUUGGCGGUUACAACUAUUUAAAGAAACUCGUUUUAUAACCGAUAAUACCCGAUAAUUUUAACUUUAAAUAAAAAUUUAUAUACCGCCGUUCAAAAAGAAAAAAUAAAAAUUAGAUUUCAUUACCAUAAAAGUUUAAAAAUCAGGUCAAGGUGUAAUAUAUUUCAAAGGAAAAAUAAGUUACAUUUAAAUAUAAUUUAAGGAAAUAAGACAAAAAUCAUUAUAAAAAAAGAAUUUAAAAAUAAUUUAUAAUUAAUAAUUUUAAAAGAAAAAAUAAUUGUAAUGC